AAAGCUGGAGUCAUAGGGGGUUAUUCUUGAUAAUUUUGCUCUUUCAGCACUCAUAGACAAUCAUUCACUGUUUCUUAUCAGUUGUUUUCUCUCUCCUCUGUUGUCCCUCUGUCAACAUUUCUGGUUUACUUAUUUAGAUCCCCAUCAUUUCCCACCUGGAUUAUUUCAACUGGCACCCAUGAGAUAGGAGGCUGGUGGGACUUGUUUCCUGGUCAUGACCCCACUGAUGGAAGCAAGAUCUGGUCAAAACAGAUACAGUAAAGAAGUUGAGGCCGGGUGCAGUGGCUCACACCUGUAAUCCCAGCACUUUGGGAGGCUGAGUGAAGCCAAGAACCCUUCCAGGCUAAGCCCCAUUGCCUGCCCUGCAUCAUCAUGGUGACAAUGAAGGGAUGAGACAAGAUGGCAAGGUGGCAAGACAGCUAUUGGUGAUUGGUGAGAUGGUGAGACAGCGAUCAGCAGCUGGCAAUAAGGAAGGAGACAAGACGGUGGUGGCAGCAGAGCAGAGUGAACAGGCAAGUGGUCACAGUGCUGCCUCAUAUCAUACUCAACACUCUGGCCAGCUGAUCACAGGACCAUGCCCCGAUCCCCUCACAGCAGCCAAGCCUGUCCAAGCCAAGGAAACCUGAGGAGGAGACUUUCACCUGAGCUCCACACUGGAGACUGCUUAGAGCC
rnacentral:lncRNA from 1 species